rnacentral:rRNA from 1 species
GUGGGGAAUAUUGGACAAUGGGCGCAAGCCUGAUCCAGCCAUGCCGCGUGAGUGAUGAAGGCCUUAGGGUUGUAAAGCUCUUUCAGUGGGGACGAUAAUGACGGUACCCACAGAAGAAGCCCCGGCUAACUUCGUGCCAGCAGCCGCGGUAAUACGAAGGGGGCUAGCGUUGUUCGGAUUUACUGGGCGUAAAGCGCACGUAGGCGGGUCGUUAAGUCAGGGGUGAAAUCCUGGAGCUCAACUCCAGAACUGCCUUUGAUACUGGCGACCUAGAGUCCGGAAGAGGUGAGUGGAAAUCCUAGUGUAGAGGUGGAAUUCGUAGAUAUUAGGAAGAACACCAGUGGCGAAGGCGGCUCACUGGUCCGGUACUGACGCUGAGGUGCGAAAGCGUGGGGAGCAAACAGGAUUAGAAACCCGGGUAGUCC